AGCCUGUGUAAUUUGACUGAAAGGUAGUUCUGGUUUAGAACGUAUUAUCCAUCUUCUAUUUUUAGGUCCAGAAAUAGUGUYGUCUGUGACUGAAACUUCUGUAAAUCUUGCUUCCUGCAAAUUAUAUAUGAAGGUAUGCAAGAUGAGGGCCACUUGUCUACAUACACCAUCCUCUUGAGAAGUCUCACAGUUUGGAGGUGAAAUGUCACUGUUAAAAUGACCUCCAUUGUGAGACACUUUGAUAAGCAGGAUGAUAUUAUCCCCCUUGAGAGAGUACAGCUGAGCUAAGGGAAAACUCUCGUUCAUCCACGCGAGAAGUCGAUAUCAGAUCUACAUCUUUCUACUUGGUUGGCUCCGACUCCUCUUUGGUUUCAUGCUUGACAUACAGACAGUACGAUUAAUUACUGUUUUUGAGCCAGAAGGGCACAUGCAAAACUACAUGUCUUAGGCCUUGAGGUACUUGGCAUGGUGCUUUAUGUGGUCUUCCAUGAAGGUUGAAAUGAAAUAAUAACUAUGAUCAUAGUCCUACAAAAAAUGACAAUACAAACAUACUGUCAAUUCAUAAUCUUAUAUUUUGGUUGUACAUAAUUGCAAAAUAAAACCAUCUCAAGUAAAUAAAAUCAUAUCAAUAUUUGCUACGAUAUUUAUAUUUAUAGCUCCAGGAUUUUUUAAACUAAGGGAAUUGCAUGGUGAUCUGGCUGAGAGCUGCAGAAAAUUUCAGCAUUUUGUAUCAAGAUUUUUUGCUAUUCUUAUGGGAGGUUGUUGGGAGGAUGCAGCCCCCUAAAUAUUUUUACCUUGCAUCCAACUAUGAUUUGUAAAUCAAAUAUCUAGUGAUCUAGUAGUCCAGUCUUUGUUUUGUCAACAGAUAGAAGUUUGUUCUUAUUUAAUUAUAAAUGGACUGACCUCUUGCAUCCUAAGAGAUAUUUUGACGUUGGUUCCUUUGCUGGCCUCAACAAGAUUUUCAGGAAGAAGUUGAUUAGGGUAAAAUUGAUCUG